rnacentral:rRNA from 1 species
CUAGCGACAGGCCUAACACAUGCAAGUCAGGGGCAGCACAAGGAGCAAUCUGAGGUGGCGACCGGCGCACGGGUGAGUAACACGUAUGCAACCUGCCUGUAAGCGGGGAAUAACCCGUUGAAAGACGGACUAAUACCGCAUAAUACUAAAUUACUGCAUGGUAAUUUAUUUAAACAUUUAUGGCUUACAGAUGGGCAUGCGCAUGAUUAGCUAGUUGGAGAGGUAACGGCUCCCCAAGGCAACGAUCAUUAGGGGUUCUGAGAGGAAGGUCCCCCACACUGGUACUGAGACACGGACCAGACUCCUACGGGAGGCAGCAGUGAGGAAUAUUGGUCAAUGGACGAGAGUCUGAACCAGCCAAGUCGCGUGCAGGAAGAAUGUCCCUAUGGAUUGUAAACUGCUUUUGCAGGGGAAUAAAGUGCAUCACGUGUGAUGUUUUGUAUGUACUCUGCGAAUAAGGAUCGGCUAACUCCGUGCCAGCCGCUGC